UGGAAAUGAUGAAAUUGAGAUUGGGGUGUUGAGUGAAUGUUAAUUGUAGAAUGUAAAUAUAGUAUAACUUCCAUUUAUGGUGUGUAUGCAUGCUUGUGUGGUACUUUUGGUUAUUUGCAAGGGGGCUCUGAAAUACAUUGCGGAUUUCGGAGUGCAUCUGAGGGAUGUUGCACUGUGAUGGGCUUCUCUGCAACAUUACCUGUGAUUAGAGCCCGCAUCGGCUCCCUUAAAUAACCUGCGCACCCUUACAUCUCUAACGGGUGCAUGAUUUACAUGUACUCGUGAUCUGAUCCAA
rfam:Xenopus laevis strain J chromosome 5L, whole genome shotgun sequence.